AGCUCAACGGUCAUGUUUGAAAUUCACUCAAGAAACAACCUCUGUGGCUGGGUGCGGUGAAUCUGGGAGGCGGAGGUUGCAGUGAGCCAAGAUUGUGCCACUGCACUCCAACCUGUGAGACAGAGCGAGACUCUGUCUCAAAAAUAAAAAAUACAAAAAACUCUAUUGUAUAUGUAUGGAAAGAGAAUCAAGGGGGAACCUUGGCUUGAUCAUUGCCUUAGAGUGUCAGAAGUGGAGCUGGAACAAGAACUAAGACCUCCUGAUUUUUAGCUCAAUGUUGUUUCUACUUUUUUUCAAAAUAUAAUUAUGUUG
rnacentral:lncRNA from 1 species